rnacentral:rRNA from 1 species
UCCUGGCUCAGGACGAACGCUGGCGGCGUGCUUAACACAUGCAAGUCGAGCGGUAAGGCACUUCGGUGUACACGAGCGGCGAACGGGUGAGUAACACGUGAGUAAUCUGCCCUCCACUUUGGGAUAAGCCUCGGAAACGGGGUCUAAUACCGGAUACGACAAAUCACUGCAUGGUGUGUUUGUGGAAAGUUUUUCGGUGGGGGAUGUGCUCGCGGCCUAUCAGCUUGUUGGUGGGGUAAUGGCCUACCAAGGCUUCGACGGGUAGCCGGCCUGAGAGGGUGACCGGCCACACUGGGACUGAGACACGGCCCAGACUCCUACGGGAGGCAGCAGUGGGGAAUAUUGGACAAUGGGCGGAAGCCUGAUCCAGCAACGCCGCGUGAGGGAUGACGGCCUUCGGGUUGUAAACCUCUUUCACCCCCGACGAAGCGAAAGUGACGGUA